CGUUCACUUGGUUUGGGGACGCUGUGGGAUGCGGUUUGGUGUCGUUCGUGUUGAUCGGACUUGGACCUCGUUUGGAUAUUUAGUUAUUGUUGCAAAAUGUGAUGGAUCGUUUUGAUGGAAGAACGCUUGGUUGUGUUUCCUGACGUGAAUUAUUCCACUUUGGCGGAACUUGAAAAUUUCAACUAUGGGUUAGAGGACUAGAUUUCGACCCGACAUGUGAGGCGUCACUUCUCCCGGAGGUUAGCCGGGCCAUCGGCAAGAUGAAGGUGUAACAGGAGAGUGUCCUUACAUCGUUUCUCGUUCAGCAUACUAAUCGGAAGGUUGAAGUCCCUGCGUUCGUCGCGCCCAUCCAUCACUUCUUCCGUGGAAUGGUUAGCAACUGAAGCUGAGAGGAGGAAGGAAAGGUUGUAACGUCGCCAUCCUGGAUUUCGUUGGGAUUGAUGCAGGAUAUAAUUAGACCUUGGCUGUUUUUAUAAAUUUCAAUAAAAAUUGAUGGUAGAGCAUAA